GCCAGCAGCCAUAUCACCCUGCAGCUCUCAACUGGCAGCCCAAUGAAGCUCAGCAGGGUUGAGCCUGGUCAGUACCUGGAUGGGAGACCUCCUGGGAAGCUAUGCUGGAAGUGGUGUUA
rnacentral:rRNA from 1 species